GUUAAAAUGCUCGCAGAUUGACGGGAUUAGAGAAGACCGCAGUCUCGAAGGUUGACCUGGAUGAUGACGUCGCUGAAGAUCGAUAUGACGAACUUCAGAGCCUUGGUAUCGGUGGCAUCUGUGUAAUGAGCAUAGAUACUCUUUGAAGGGCUAUUAUUCAACCCCACAAACUUCUCGAGCAAGAAAGCGCAAGCCAUAUCAUAGUCAUUACCUCCUCUGAACUCGGGGAAAGUAUUUGAUAAAGGUGAUACUGGCAGCUUUUCGCGAAAUAUAUCGAUCUUGUUAAGAAAGAGGAUAAUUGAGGUCUUGGUGAACCAUCGAGAGUUGGCGACGGAUUCAAAGAGUGUCAUGGCUUCUUGCAUACGAUUGACUGACUCGUCUUCGUACAGCUUUUGAUCAUCUGCGAGGCGCAAAAAAAACGAGUGCCGUGACUGAGUCAAAGAUAUUCAGCCAUUUCCGUCGUUCCGACCGUUGGCCUCCAACAUCGAAGAGUUUGUAAGUUAGCUCUCCGAUCUUGAAGUGGGUCUCGCUGCGCAUAGAUUCAUCAGUUCCGGUCUGCUAUGCGUCCUCAAAAUUAUUGAUACUAACGUGAUUCCGGUGGUCUUGACUCUGGCCCGUAAUAUGUCCUGAUCUGUGGGCAUGUAGUUUGGUUGGGCGAUUCUGGCAAUAGCAUCAAAAAUCGUUCAAUUGCAAUUCAUUCCUUCUAAAGAACGC
rnacentral:sRNA from 1 species